UGAGAUGGAAUGAAAUGAAAAAUGUUAAAAUUAGUGAUUUCUUUUCUGGUAAUAUAUACAAACAUUGAUUGUAUUUUACUAGUAACAAAUUUAGACAGAAUCAUCAAUAUUUGACUAAGGGCAUGCAUAAAAUUACAUUGCAAAAGGCACAAGUGAAAGAGCACGAUGGAGCACAGCCUGAUUCUCUUUCUUUUUUUCUCUCGCAUGGUGUAGCACGCCAGUGUCUGAGUGCUGCGCGAGCUGCUCAUGUUGUGUCGAUCAGCAAAUUGAUAGUUGCAGUUCCAUCUCAUGCCACCGCUCCACUUCUCCAUGGCCGCUUCCGCGGUACAGAUGUGCCAGUGGCAGGACGGCUGCUCCUCCCGAGAGAGAGAUGAGAUGGCGAAACCGCAGCCGCCAGAUCGGGGAGGUGCUCCAGCCGAACGCCCGCCGGCCUGCGCCUUCACGCUCCCGUCCCUGCACCUGCUCACCUGCUCUGCCACGACGCUCUUCACCAGGUGCGUCCUCCGGCUCGAUCUCUGUGCUGGAGUCGCCACCGUCUUCCCGGCUGCGAGCUGCGCGCCCGCCGGUCGCCAUCGCUCGCCUCCCCAGAUGCCGCAAGGGCACUGGACGCUGAUUGAAGAGGGAGAGAGAGAUGAGGGAGAAGGCGCAGGGGAAAGAGAGGAAGAGACGAGGAGGAGCGGUUCCGCGUCGUUCCACCAAUUUGGAGGAACGAGCGUGUUACGCAUCUGGAGCGAAUAUUCCCAUUCGGGGAACGAGUGGGUUCCUGUUCCAGUUGCCUACCAAACAUAAGAACGAGCCCAAAGGACGGGUCGGACCCAUUUCAUUCUCCUUGCUGACACAUACCAAACACACAAAGUUCCCUCCUGUUAACUAUUUCUUAUAUUUCAGGUCC
rnacentral:rRNA from 1 species